GAAAAAAAAAGUUCAUAAGAGAGAGAAAACAAUAGAAAGAAGAAGAAAAGCUGUCGCAGCUAUUGCCUCUUGCCCUCUGUCUCCGUCUUCCAGUACCCAGUUUCCGACGAUGCCCAUUAGCUAGUCAAGUAAGUAAGGGUAGGUGAAAACCUCAUCUUUUUUGUUUGCCCGUUGACUACUUUCUUCUUUGGUUUACGUCUGUUAUUCUUCUCCCUCUUAUUCUUUUCUUUAUCUGCAUUGCGGUUGACUAGAAAUUAAGUUGUUAUUCUUAGUUCUUAAAGGACACCCAUUUCUUUAAAGUUUUUCUCCACCCUUCCCAACACAUUGAGCUUUUGUUUUUGAGAAUUACUCGUGAGCCAAACAUCAAUCUUUCGUUCAUCAUGUGGUGCUCAGAAGUUUUGUAGUUUUGAGAUCUGAAAUUUAGUUGGCUUUGAUCUUUUGAAAAUGUACAUUUAUUUAUGCUGAUAUUUAUAUAGCUAUAAAGUAUAUUUAUUUUAGCGAGCAGUAAUUAGUCAUGCUCUCUCUUGCUUUUAUUUUUACCCCGGGGGUGGGGUCUAUGGAUUUCUUUAAGAAACGAAGGUGGAAGUUGAAGGCUAGCGUCUUCAGUUGAACUGAAUUUUCAAUUUCCAAAAUUGUGAGCUGUUAGAACUCCAAACACAAAGGCAGAAACUCUCCCCCACACUCGUGGACGGACUUCUUGGUUGCUUUCUGUUCCUGACAUUCUUUGACCUACAU
rnacentral:misc_RNA from 1 species